rnacentral:lncRNA from 1 species
GGCAAGUCAAGAAAUGAUAUCCUUAGGCUGCAAACCUGGACAAGGGUUAGGAAAGUAUCAUAAGGGCAUUAAGCGGGGACAACCGGACUAGGCUAUUCUUCUAGCUCCAGUCACAGGAAUCCUCACAAACCCAAAAAGGUUCCUUCAUCUUCAUCCCCACAAUGAUUGCCUAAACCUACAAAAGUUAAGCCUGUACGACCUUCAUUAAAGGUUCCUGCCC